GACAGAGGGGGCAAGCGUUGCUCGGAAUUACUGGGCGUAAAGGGCGCGUAGGCGGGAUGGCAAGUCAGUCGUGAAAUCUCUCGGCUCAACCGAGAAACGUCGGCUGAUACUGCCGUUCUUGAGGGAUGCAGAGGAGACUGGAAUUCCCGGUGUAGCGGUGAAAUGUGUAGAGAUCGGGAGGAACACCGGUGGCGAAGGCGGGUCUCUGGGCAUUUCCUGACGCUGAGACGCGAAAGCGUGGGGAGCGAACAGG
rnacentral:rRNA from 1 species